CCCUGGAUAUUUUAAGGGGAGGUGAGGGAGUGGGUGAGGCCGGUGGGGAGGAGGGUUGGGGGGCUCUCAAAGGGGCUGAGGCAGGAGACGCCCAGGUCCCGGAGGGCCAAGGACGGGCUGAAAGUCCAGACUCCAGAAUCAGUGAGGUGGCAGAGCUCGAGCAGGACCGAGCCUGGGUUCCUGCCCGGGGACAGGGCUGGGGAGCUGGGCCGCAGGGGAGGGGUGGGGCCGGGACCUGCACCCGAGCUGGAGCCUGGAGGCCGGGCCGGACCCUGGAAGAGGUCUGUGGCCCUCGACUCCUGGGCCUGAGAGGAGCACGCUGGAGCCAGAACCCCCUGGAUCUGCACGGUGGAUGGAUGGGUCCCCGGGAGGUGGGAAGGCCAGGCCUUGGGAGGGUCUAGGGUUAACUGAGACUCUGAGCCAGAGCAGCAGUCCUCUUCGUCGAGUUUAUUAGACCCCUGGGGGACCUUCCAUGCAGUUUCAGCUCCCUCAGGGGCAGGGACAGCCUUGUGACAUGGCAGCAGGGCCUGCUCCUCUCCCCUCCCUUAGCCUCUGUGCGCACUGCCCGGACGGGACCACCUCUCACCAACUCCUUCUCUGCCCCAUGGCCGCUCCAGGUGGGCUGGUGCCCGACCUGCCCGGGACGCUGGAGCCCUGGUGCCCUUGCAGCAUGUGUGUCCCCUGGGAUGCGAUUGUCUGCUCUCUGCCCAGCUGUCCCAGCGGACAUGAGUGGGGGCCAGGGGCAGCCUCAACAUGACCCAGCUCAAGGCGAGGUACACAGGCAGCCUUGGAGGAUGCACAUGAGCCAUGACCUCACCACUCCCACGGUCUCCAGUAUUCACAGCCACCCGAUACCUGGUCCUGGAUGUGCCACAGGCAGCUCUCACUGGCCGGGUCCAAAAGAGAAAGAACCCUUGGCUCCUCCACCCAGACGUCCUGUUUCCCCCUAUUGGUGGGACGCAGAACCCCACACCCAACUCUCAAGCCCAACUCGGCCUCCUGUCUUCUCCCUACCCUGGCACCUCGCUGCCCCCGAUCCUUCCAGCUUGACACCACUGGAACUCUAACCUCAUGGUUUCCAGGCCUCUUGCUCCUGCUCCAACUUUUGACUCCUGAAAUCUAUCCCCCGCACAGCAGCAUGAGUCUGGUAUUGUUUUGUUGAAAUAAGAAUACGAUCCUGCCACGGCUGUGCUGAGAACCAGCCAUGGG
rnacentral:lncRNA from 1 species